rnacentral:lncRNA from 13 species
CCCUGGCAACCGCAGCCCCUGCCCCGUUCUUUAUUUACAGCACCUUUAUUUAGGCAACCUUUACUAGGCCGGGGUUUAGAUCAGCUACGCGUCACCAGGGCGACGUUAUCCCACAGUCUUGCCCAAGCCUCCCUUCCCACCCCGCCCCGCAGGAACACCCCUCACCUCCCCUAAGCGAGGAAGGAUUUGGGCCGCAGUCCCGGGUGGUCCCAGGACUUCAACAGCAUGUUGUGGUGGGAUGGGGUGAAGUGUGGGCGUGGCAGAGGGGUUUGUGGGGUGGGCAAUUCAGUCCGGGAGAGACAGCUUUAAUCCGAGUGAAGAACCCUUUGCACUGGCCUGGGAGGAGGCUGAACUGUCAUUCUGCCUCAACACAGCCAUGACCCUAGAAGUUACAGCACCACUCUAUACCUGAAUUGAACCAAGAUAUAAAAGAAAAAGGGAAAAAGAAGUUACAGCACCGCUCUUCAGAGGUCUACCCUGUGUGCGCACAUGGAGAAGACGCUUAGGUUAAAUAAUUUCCUGAAAUAGGACUGUAACUAGAACCCAGCUGACUUCCCCACAGCCAUUCUUACCUAUUUUAUUAGUCAUUGUCUGGCACAAUCACGAAGUGCGGUGGUAUUGAGACCUACCUUUUAGGGCUUUUUGAUGAUUUAAUUUGAUAAUGAAUGUAGACUGCUUUGCAACAGUGAGCUUUCGAUAAAAGGUACCUAUUACGAUUCUCAAAAAAAGUGCACCAUUUUGAAUAUGCCGAACAAAGAGACUUAUCAUUUCCAUGCCCUCACAUGGAGAUUUAACCAAAAGAGAAGAUUGGGAGGGCAUGCACAUGGCAGUCUCAGAAAGAUCAUGGAUGGGGAAUUCCAUAACCAGAGGCCCCUUCUGGUUUGCUGGCAUUCCUCUCCUUGAAGGUCAGCACUUAAUAUUUCCAUUACGAUGCAACGAGGAUGGAAGGCAACAGUAGGAGCCAUGGAAUCACAACAGCAGUCCAUAGACUUUUCAGCCUCAGUAGUAACACAGAAGAGACCAGCCCUGGAUGUCCUUACAGCCAAGGUAUCGGGUACCUGUGCAGUCUUAAAUGAAACACCUCUAGUCAAGUCGAAGAAAACUUACAGCUUACAGAUGGCAGCUCAUGGACUUUCUCAGCCUUUAUAAUUCCAUUUUAACAACCUG